rnacentral:rRNA from 1 species
CCUACGGGUGGCAGCAGUAGGGAAUCUUUCACAAUGGGCGAAAGCCUGAUGGAGCAACGCCGCGUGCAGGAUGAAGGCCUUCGGGUUGUAAACUGCUUUUAUAAGCGAGAAAUAUGAUGGUAACUUAUGAAUAAGGAUCGGCUAACUACGUGCCAGCAGCCGCGGUCAUACGUAGGAUCCGAGCAUUAUCCGGAGUGACUGGGUGUAAAGAGUUUCGUAGGUGGCAUAAUAAGUAGCUAGGGAAAUCGGGUGGCUCAACCAUUCAGACUAUUAGCUAAACUAUUAAGCUCGAGACCGUUAGGGGUAACUGGAAUUUCUAGUGUAGGAGUGAAAUCCGUAGAUAUUAGAAAGAACACCGAGAGCGUAGGCAGGUUACUGGGACGGUUCUGACACUAAGGCACGAAAGCGUAGGGAGCAAACGGGAUUAGAUACCCGGGUAGUC